UGGAUACUUAGUGGAAAUAAAACAUAAUCAAAAAUGAAAAAAAAACCUGUAUACGUCUCUCCCUCACAGUAACCAUUCUUCCCAAAUUUAUUUCACUUUCCUCUUUCUCUAUCCUGAAAUCGAACUCCUAACCAAACAAAAAUUCCUAAACCCAGAUUUAAACGAGUAGUUUUGCAAAACAAGUAAGCAUUCCAAGAGCCAAAUCGGCGAACAACAACAAGUAAAGCCCAGGGUUUCAGCUUAAAAUCCGAACCAUGGCAACAACGAUUUCAUGCAAUAAUCAAGGGGUUUGCGUUCUAUGAAGCAAUAUGAGCAAGAUAAUAAUCUCAAAUCGUACAAAGGAGAAGUUUAAGUACCAAAUCGGAGCUAGUCCGACGUUCGAAGUCCGGCGAGGGGUCUAGCUCGAGCUUGUUGAGCUUCGAUGUGAAGAUCUCAACAAGUUCACAAUCGGAGCUUUUUUAAUGAGGGUUUAGAGUGAUUUCUCCAGAGUAACGUUGCAGAAAAUUCGGAUCCCUACUUCAUCACUGGAGGUCCCUAUUUAUAGCGGUUUGGAUGUACGAGGUUUAGAAUUCCUCUCUCAUGAGCUUGGCAAAUUAGUGGGAGCAUCAUUCUGUUGGGUAGCAGAAUUUCCCAGAGUUGAUGGUUCUCCACUAUUGGUGUGGUCCCUCAAAUGGCAGGAUGAGGUUUUGUCUGUAGUGAAUCCAUGGUCAUGUACCAGUCAAUUUCAUGAAGUGGCUUGUGCAUAAUUAACAAGUUAAGGUUUCUGAUGUUUAACCAAAUGGCCCUGCAGUGGAUUUCUAUCCUGCAAUAUGGUCGGUUAUUUGUGGCUCACAGUUUUGCUAGACUCCACGGUAUCUUGCGGUUUUGGCCAAUGGUUGUAGGCUUGUGUCUUGAUUUUGCAGUAGGUCUAUGUUGUGAUAUAUGCAUGUUUGCAAGGUUUGGAAGGUUGUGUAAUUUAUACCAUCAUUGUGUUUGUACUAAGCAUGUUUAUGUCUUUCUUUUUGUAAUGCUCUUAUGCUUAGUUUCAGUGUGAGCUGGACGCAAUUUACGGUUUUGCAGCAAGUUUAGGAUCGUGUUCAGGAAACUAUGGUAUCCGUCAAAAUACUUUGGCUUUGGUAUAAUAGAAGUUAAUUCUUUCACCUCUGCGUUUAUGUACUGCAACUUUUAUCCUUUCAUGAGUGUAUUGUAAUUGUUGAUGUUGUCUAUGCCAUGGCAUGCUGAUGACUCGAGAAUGUCGACAGGUUUUGAAAUUUAAUAAGCGGGCUGCAGGUCGUGUUUCAUAUGUGCACUACUGUAGGAUAUAUUGCAGGCUGCUCAUAAUGCCUGACAUUGGCCAUGGAGUCUCAUAAUUCCUAUUCGCCUUUUUCCGACUUAUCAGAAUUUAAAUGCAGCGGAUUUUGAGAGGUGAACUGGAGAGAAUGUUUUCUUAGUCACCGGUUUGGACUUAGCUCACAGUUUUGCUAGGUGCCACGGUAGCUUGCGGCGUGGGUGCUGCUAUGUGCGAAAGGACAACAUCCUGCAUGCUUCCGUCUGGGGUGAUAUCCAAUUUUGAAAUUUGAAUAUCUCCUAUUGACAAAACUGUGGAGUAUGCGAACUUAACGGACCAACGACAUAAUUGAUUGGUGUUUACUGCCAGUUGGUCGUGUUUAUGCCGCUAAGUCCAGAAGCAUCGGCUUUUCCUUCAUCAUCUGCUAGCAUGUCAAUUUAUCCAACCUGUUUACCAUCAUCCUUACUACAUGACACGAACUUAGUGCAUGUUGCAAUUCUUGUGGCGAUGUUUGCAACAAAAUUUCCAUACGGACUUUGGGUGGCAUGCCGUCAAACUGCUAAGGAUUUGAAACAAACUGCCUGUAGCACUCGUCCAUAAUAAUUUCUUUGUAUUGAAGUCCCAAGAUACAUGGUGAUAACCCCUUGACAGGAUUUCCAAAAUUAACCGUUUGUAAGCUUUUUUCAUAUUUGCUUUGCGGACAGUGGGUUUUAUUCAUGUACGCACACCAUCAUUGUCUUUAUUUGCCCAAUGAUUUGUCUUCCAAUUGCUUGCUUGGGAACCGACUUGGCAUGAACACGUCAUGAAUGAGUUUAAUACCAAGUCGCAUUAAUUCUU